UUGUUGGAUUGUUGCAGGU
rnacentral:snRNA from 1 species